UGGGGAGUAUUGGACAAUGGGCGAAAGCCUGAUCCAGCCAUGCCGCAUGAGUGAAGAAGGCCUUUGGGUUGUAAAGCUCCUUUAGUGAGGAAGAUAAUGACGGUACUCACAGAAGAAGUCCUGGCUAACUCCGUGCCAGCAGCCGCGGUAAUACGGAGAGGGCUAGCGUUAUUCGGAAUUAUUGGGCGUAAAGGGCGCGUAGGCUGGUUAGUAAGUUAAAAGUGAAAUCCCGAGGCUUAACCUUGGAACUGCUUUUAAAACUGCUAACCUAGAGAUUGAAAGAGGAUAGAGGAAUUCCUAGUGUAGAGGUGAAAUUCGUAAAUAUUAGGAGGAACACCAGUGGCGAAGGCGUCUAUCUGGUUCAAAUCUGACGCUGAGGCGCGAAGGCGUGGGGAGCAAACA
rnacentral:rRNA from 1 species